rnacentral:rRNA from 1 species
CACGUAGGGCGCAAGCGUUGUCCGGAAUUAUUGGGCGUAAAGAGCUCGUAGGCGGUUCGUCGCGUCGGCUGUGAAAACCUGAGGCUCAACCUCAGGCCUGCAGUCGAUACGGGCGGACUUGAGUACUGCAGGGGAGACUGGAAUUCCUGGUGUAGCGGUGAAAUGCGCAGAUAUCAGGAGGAACACCGGUGGCGAAGGCGGGUCUCUGGGCAGUAACUGACGCUGGAGGAGC